rnacentral:rRNA from 1 species
UAGGGAAUCUUCCGCAAUGGACGCAAGUCUGACGGAGCAACGCCGCGUGAGUGAAGAAGGAUUUCGGUUCGUAAAACUCUGUUGUUAGAGAAGAACAGCGCAUAGAGUAACUGUUAUGCGUGUGACGGUAUCUAACCAGAAAGCCACGGCUAACUACGUGCCAGCAGCCGCGGUAAUACGUAGGUGGCAAGCGUUGUCCGGAUUUAUUGGGCGUAAAGCGAGCGCAGGCGGUCAAUUAAGUCUGAUGUGAAAGCCCCCGGCUCAACCGGGGAGGGUCAUUGGAAACUGGUUGACUUGAGUGCAGAAGGGGAGAGUGGAAUUCCAUGUGUAGCGGUGAAAUGCGUAGAUAUAUGGAGGAAAACCGGUGGCGAAAGCGGCUCUCUGGUCUGUAACUGACGCUGAGGCUCGAAAGCGUGGGGAGCGAACAGG